rnacentral:rRNA from 1 species
CCUACGGGAGGCUGCAGUGAGGAAUAUUGGUCAAUGGACGAGAGUCUGAACCAGCCAAGUAGCGUGAAGGAUGACUGCCCUAUGGGUUGUAAACCUCUUUUAUAUGGGAAUAAAAUGUUCCACGUGUGGGCUUUUGUAUGUACCUUAUGAAUAAGCAUCGGCUAACUCCGUGCCAGCAGCCGCGGUAAUACGGAGGAUCCGAGCGUUAUCCGGAUUUAUUGGGUUUAAAGGGUGCGUAGGUGGAUUGUUAAGUCAGUUGUGAAAGUUUGCGGCUCAACCGUAAAAUUGCAGUUGAAACUGGCAGUCUUGAGUACAGUAGAGGUGGGCGGAAUUCGUGGUGUAGCGGUGAAAUGCUUAGAUAUCGCGAAGAACUCCGAUUGCGAAGGCAGCUCACUGGACUGCAACUGACACUGAGGCUCGAAAGUGUGGGUAUCAAACAGGAUUAGAUACCCUGGUAGUC